UUGACAUACGCUGUGUAACCACUCCCUAAGGGUUACGUAACCGCUCGAAAGGAAUACCGGGAGGACACAUACAAGUCCCAACGAGCGCGGUCACUUCAACACUGACCCUCAGUGGCAGUCCGACGUUUAAGGAAACCCAGCUGCAGCACGUGCAACGCGCAGGAGAGCUUCACCCGGUCCCCGAAGAACACGGCGGCGCCCUCGGUCUGCGCGCGGAAGCCCGGCAGCUCUCGGUCGUACUGGAACCAGAACCAGCUGAACGUCUGGACCACGAAGGACGACAGGGCCAGGAGGCCGACCAGCACCCAGAACCAGAUGACGUCCCCGCGGCGGUAAAACUCCGCGGCCAACCACACGUCCGAGCCCCAGUCCACCAGGAAAGUGCACACUCCGAUCACAGAGAAGACGAAAUCGAUCCAGGAGUAUUUUGAAAAAGUCGCGCCCUCCAUGACAGUUUUGUGUUUGUUUGUUUUGUUUUGCCAGUUGACAAACCAACCGACCUGUUGCUGGUUAGCUAACCAUUCGGCUAACGUCCUGAACCGUUAUCUCCCCCUCACGGAGACAAAACCAUUGAAGAACGACGUUACACGACUUUUACACGUCAGCCUUGGGUUCCAACUCACAUAACGAAGGCGCGGCCAUGAAUUCAGGGAGAAAGAAGUGUAAAAUAAGCGACACAGCAGCUGGUGUUUCAGUAACGAUCCCCUCUGUUCGGAUAGUGGUUAGCCCCGCCCACCCGGUAUGUAUAGGUUGUUUAAACUUGUAAAGACCGCAGGGCUUGUUCGGUAAUAAACCUGGCGCGUUUAGUCAA